GUUAGGUCAGCCGGGUGUUGGAUGUCCCGGUUCAAGCGUGUAGGUUGGUUCUUUUAGGCAAACUCCGGAGGAGCUAAGACUGAGACGUGAUAACGAGUGAGGCUUGCUCACGAAGUUGAUUGAUACCAUGCUUCCAAGAAAAGCCACUAAGCUUCAGUUGUAUAAGACCGUACCGCAAACCGACACAGGUGGGCAGGGAUGAGAAUUCUAAGGCGCUUGAGAGAACCCGGGAGAAGGAACUCGGCAAAUUAGCACCGUAACUUCGGGAGAAGGUGCGCCCCGGUAACGUGUAUAGACUUGCUCUAGAAGCGUGAUGGGGUUGCAGUGAAAAGGUGGCUGCGACUGUUUAAUAAAAACACAGCACUCUGCAAACACGAAAGUGGACGUAUAGGGUGUGACGCCUGCCCGGUGCUGGAAGAUUAAAUGAUGGGGUGCAAGCUCUUGAUUGAAGUCCCAGUAAACGGCGGCCGUAACAAUAACGGUCCUAAGGUAGCGAAAUUCCUUGUCGGGUAAGUUCCGACCCGCACGAAUGGCGUAACGAUGGCCACACUGUCUCCUCUCGGGACUCAGCGAAGUUGAAAUGUUUGUGAAGAUGCAAUCUCCCCGCGGCUAGACGGAAAGACCCCAUGAACCUUUACUGCAGCUUUACAUUGGACUUUGACAAGAUUUGUGUAGGAUAGGUGGGAGCCUGUGAAACGUGGUCGCCAGAUCGCGUGGAGGCGUCGUUGAAAUACCACCCUGAUGUUGUUGAGGUUCUAACCUAGGUCCGUAAUCCGGACUGGGGACCGUGUAUGGUAGGCAGUUUGACUGGGGCGGUCUCCUCCCAAAGAGUAACGGAGGAGUGCGAAGGUAACCUAGGUACGGUCGGAAAUCGUACUGAUAGUGCAAUGGCAAAAGGUUGCUUGACUGCGAGACGGACAGGUCGAGCAGGUGCGAAAGCAGGUCAUAGUGAUCCGGUGGUUCUGUAUGGAAGGGCCAUCGCUCAACGGAUAAAAGGUACUCUGGGGAUAACAGGCUGAUUCCUCCCAAGAGUUCAUAUCGACGGGGGAGUUUGGCACCUCGAUGUCGGCUCAUCACAUCCUGGGGCUGUAGCCGGUCCCAAGGGUAUGGCUGUUCGCCAUCGAGGUGCCAUACCCUUGGGACCGGCUACAGCCCCCAGGAUCGUGAUGAGCCGACAUCGAGGGGCUGUAGCCGGUCCCAAGGGUA
rnacentral:rRNA from 1 species